rnacentral:sRNA from 1 species
AAACAUAAAUUUUUGCAGAGAUGGACAUAAUUAUAAUAUUAC